rnacentral:rRNA from 1 species
UGUUAGCGGCGGACGGGUGAGUAACACGUGGGUAACCUACCUAUAAGACUGGGAUAACUCCGGGAAACCGGGGCUAAUACCGGAUAANAUUUUGAACCGCAUGGUUCAAUAGUGAAAGACGGUCUCGGCUGUCACUUAUAGAUGGGCCCGCGCCGUAUUAGCUAGUUGGUAAGGUAACGGCUUACCAAGGCGACGAUACGUAGCCGACCUGAGAGGGUGAUCGGCCACACUGGAACUGAGACACGGUCCAGACUCCUACGGGAGGCAGCAGCA